rnacentral:misc_RNA from 1 species
GAUGAAGAACGUAGCGAAAUGCGAUACUUGGUGUGAAUUGCAGAAUCCCGUGAACCAUCGAGUCUUUGAACGCAAGUUGCGCCCGAAGCCAUUAGGCCGAGGGCACGCCUGCCUGGGCGUCACACGUCGUUGCCCCCCCAUCUAAUCCUUCGGGAUUGCGGGGGGCGGAUGAUGGCCUCCCGUGCGCCUCGUCGCGCGGUUGGCAUAAAUGCCAAGUCCUCGGCGACGCACGCCACGACAAUCGGUGGUUGCGAAACCUCGGUUGCCCGUUGUGUGCGGUCGUCGCGCAUCGAGGGCUCGAAAAAAUUGCCGGGCUCCGGCUCGACUUUCAACGCGUCCCCAGGUCAGGCGGGGUUACCCGCUGAAUUUAAGCAUAUCAAUAAGCGGAGGA